rnacentral:rRNA from 1 species
GAUCCCCCUCAGCACUGGUCUAUUCUGUAGGCCAGUAGCUGGUUGCUUUGGCCUUGACUGCCUCUGGCUGUCUCUGCUUAAAUUCUACAACACGUACGUGCAUAGAUCUAGAAACGUCCCAGCCCGUUCUGACGACGGCGUUGACAUUCUCAUCUAUCUCUGGUAGCUUUUGUCUCUGGAGUUCAAUUGAGUUUGUUAUCAGCUGUUGGAAGGACUACUGAGUCGACCUCUAAGUCUAGCUUGCAGUUUACUGCUCGCUAUCUAAUUCCGGAUCUCAGAUCAAGCAACCCGCCGAAUAGCAUAUCAAUAAGCGGAGGA